UAUAAUUUUAGAGAGAUCCAUACACUGAAACACAAGUUAUUGUCUGUAAACUAGAAAAAUGCUUUUUUUGGCCCCUUAUUCCUACAUGUUCUGAUAAAUUAACCCAAAAUUUAAUCCCAGUGUUCCUCUUGUUAUAAGGAACAUUGUGGUACAAUGUCAGAGAGAUCCAUACAGUUACACACAAGUUAUUGUCCUGAAACUAGAAAAAUGCUUGUUUUGGCUCCUUUUUUUUUCUAAUUCCUAGACUGUUACCUUCAAAUAAAUCCCAACCUUCUACUUAUGGUAUUAAACAUUGUGGUACAAUUUCAGAGCAAUCGAAAUACUUAUACACAACUAAUUGUCCUGAAACUAGAUAAAUGUUUGUUUUUGUCCCCUUAAUUCCUAAACCUCUGGGACCAUAACCCCCCCAAAACAGUCCCAACCUUCCUUUUGUGGUCAUAAACAAUGUGUUAAAAUUUAAUAGAUUACUAUUUACUUAUACUCAAAUUAAUAUCUGGAAUCUGUCUUUGGACAUUGCUGACGACGACAACAGCGCCAUACCAAUUGCAAUAAACGACCAUUUUUUUUAAAAUUUUUGUGGUCGUAUAAAAAUCUUUACGUUGU
rnacentral:lncRNA from 1 species